AUGGCAGGAGCUGCAGCACGGGCCUCUCCUCCAACACCUCGACAAUGGAGGAGCCAUGACCCCACCACCGUCGCCCCCGUCAUGCCGCCGCUCCUCCUGCUCCUCCUCGCCGCCCUCGCGCUCGCCCUCGCCCCGGCCCUCCCCCACGCCGCCGCCGGAGGGGGCGCCAGGUUCUACGACCCGGCGCGGGUCACCCAGAUCUCAUGGCGCCCCAGGGCGUUCCUGUACAGCGGCUUCCUCUCGCACGCCGAGUGCGACCACCUCAUCAAGCUGGCCAAGGGGAGGCUGGAGAAGUCGAUGGUGGCCGACAAUGAGUCCGGGAAGAGUGUCAUGAGCCAGGUGCGCACAAGCUCCGGCACCUUCUUGUCCAAGCGCGAGGAUGAAAUUAUCUCUGGAAUUGAAAAGUGUGUAGCUGCUUGGACGUUUCUCCCUGAAGAAAAUGCCGAGUCGAUGCAGGUUCUGCAUUAUGAAGUUGGUCAGAAGUAUGAUGCCCACUUCAAUUAUUUUAGUGACAAAAAGAACGUGAAGCGUGGUGGUCAUUGA
rnacentral:rRNA from 1 species